rnacentral:tRNA from 1 species
AGCCCCGUAGUGUAGUGGUCAAGCAUUCAGGCUUUUGGGGCCUGAGACCCCGGUUCGAAUCCGGGCGGGGCUA